GUCCCAGUUCGGAUUGCAGGCUGCAACCCGCCUGCAUGAAGUUGGAAUCGCUAGUAAUCGCGGAUCAGCAUGCCGCGGUGAAUACGUUCCCGGGCCUUGUACACACCGCCCGUCACACCAUGAGAGUCGGGAACACCCGAAGUCCGUAGCCUGACCGCAAGGGGGGCGCGGCCGAAGGUGGGUUCGAUAAUUGGGGUGAAGUCGUAACAAGGUACC
rnacentral:rRNA from 1 species